UACGGGGGGUGCGAGCGUUGUCCGGAAUUACUGGGCGUAAAGCGCACGUAGGCGGCUUUGUAAGUUAGAGGUGAAAGCCCGGAGCUCAACUCCGGAAUUGCCUUUAAGACUGCAUCGCUUGAAUCAUGGAGAGGUGAGUGGAAUUCCGAGUGUAGAGGUGAAAUUCGUAGAUAUUCGGAAGAACACCAGUGGCGAAGGCGACUCACUGGACAUGUAUUGACGCUGAGGUGCGAAAGCGUGGGGAGCAAACAGG
rnacentral:rRNA from 1 species